GACGAACGCUGGCGGCGUGCUUAACACAUGCAAGUCGAACGGUGAUCUCAAUGCUUUUGGGUGUUGGGUGAUGAGUGGCGAACGGGUGAGUAACACGUGGGUAACCUGCCCUGGACUUCGGGAUAACUGCCGGAAACGGUGGCUAAUACUGGGUAUGACUUCUGGCCGCAUGGUUGGGGGUGGAAAGGUUUUUCUGGUCUGGGAUGGGCUCGCGGCCUAUCAGCUUGUUGGUGGGGUGAUGGCCUACCAAGGCGGUGACGGGUAGCCGGCCUGAGAGGGCGACCGGCCACACUGGGACUGAGAUACGGCCCAGACUCCUACGGGAGGCAGCAGUGGGGAAUAUUGCACAAUGGGCGGAAGCCUGAUGCAGCGACGCCGCGUGCGGGAUGGAGGCCUUCGGGUUGUGAACCGCUUUCGGUCGGGAAGAAGCCUGUGCUUGUUGGUGUGGGUGACGGUACCGGCGGUAGGAAGCACCGGCUAACUACGUGCCAGCAGCCGCGGUAAUACGUAGGGUGCAAGCGUUGUCCGGAAUUAUUGGGCGUAAAGGGCUCGUAGGCGGCUGGUUGCGUCUGCUGUGAAAUCCUCUGGCUUAACUGGGGGGGUGCGGUGGGUACGGGCUGGCUUGAGUGCGGUAGGGGUGAUUGGAACUCCUGGUGUAGCGGUGGAAUGCGCAGAUAUCAGGAAGAACACCGAUGGCGAAGGCAGGUCCCUGGGCCGUUACUGACGCUGAGGAGCGAAAGCAUGGGGAGCGAACAGGAUUAGAUACCCUGGUAGUCCAUGCUGUAAACGUUGGGCACUAGGUGUGGGGCUUGUUUCCAUGGGUUCCGCGCCGUAGCUAACGCAUUAAGUGCCCCGCCUGGGGAGUACGGCCGCAAGGCUAAAACUCAAAGGAAUUGACGGGGCCCCGCACAAGCGGCGGAGCAUGCGGAUUAAUUCGAUGCAACGCGAAGAACCUUACCAAGGCUUGAAAUACGGGUUAUUCCGGGGGAGAUUCCGGGUCAGUUUUUCUGGUCCCGUACAGGUGGUGCAUGGUUGUCGUCAGCUCGUGUCGUGAGAUGUUGGGUUAAGUCCCGCAACGAGCGCAACCCUUGUCCUAUGUUGCCAGCGGGUUAUGCCGGGGACUCAUGGGAGACUGCCGGGGUCAACUCGGAGGAAGGUGGGGAUGACGUCAAAUCAUCAUGCCCCUUAUGUCUUGGGCUUCACGCAUGCUACAAUGGCUGGUACAAAGGGUUGCGAUACUGUGAGGUGGAGCUAAUCCCAGAAAGCCGGUCUCAGUUCGGAUUGGGGUCUGCAACUCGACCCUAUGAAGUCGGAGUCGCUAGUAAUCGCAGAUCAGCAACGCUGCGGUGAAUACGUUCCCGGG
rnacentral:rRNA from 1 species